rnacentral:piRNA from 1 species
UCUGAAAAAAAUAAGAGCUCCUACUUC